UACAGAGGCCCCAAGCGUUAGGCGGAAUCACUGGGCUUAAAGCGUGUGUAGGCGGACUUCUAAGUGUCUUGUGAAAUCCCACGGCUCAACCGUGGAACUGCUGGGCAUACUGCGGGUCUUGGGCCAACUAGGGGCAGCCGGAACAAGCGGUGGAGCGGUGAAAUGCGUAGAUAUCGCUUGGAACGCCGAAGGUGAAAACAGGCUGCUGGGGUUGCGCCGACGCUGAGACACGAAAGCCAGGGGAGCGAACGGG
rnacentral:rRNA from 1 species